rnacentral:rRNA from 1 species
UACGGAGGGUGCAAGCGUUGUCCGGAAUCACUGGGCGUAAAGGGCGCGUAGGCGGCUCAUGAAGGCUGUGGUGAAAGUCCGGGGCUCAACCUCGGAUCGGCCGUGGCGACUCGUGGGCUGGAGCACUGUAGAGGCGGGUGGAAUUCCGGGUGUAGCGGUGGAAUGCGUAGAGAUCCGCAAGAACACCAGUGGCGAAGGCGGCUCACUGGCCCGGUACUGACGCUGAGGUGCGAAAGCGUGGGGAGCAAACAGG